AUGAAAUGUCCUAAUAUGUAGAUGUAGAUGCUAAGUCAUUCAGUCACCUAGCUUGUGAGAAUGGAAUGCUCACAAAAAGGACAAGAGCGAGAGAGCUGUAUGGAAAUUUACACAAAGGGUCAGUUAACGGAGUAAGCUGAUAUGGAGGAUAAUAUAUCAAAGGCAGCAUAGGCGUCCAAAC